rnacentral:lncRNA from 1 species
GAACCGUGAUGCGCGACGCCCCCGAGGCCUAAGGCCCCCAGAGACCCAUCACCAGGAUUCCGGGUGCCGAGCCAUGCAGGCUCUUAGGACCCGGGGUUUCCUCCCAGCUCCCAGCGACACCCCAGCAAAGCAGGAUGGCGGAAGGAAGGAAGGAGAACCGGCCGCCAUUAGCCACCGCAGUAUUGAACGGCCGGGCGGCCCCAGCCUUGGCCCCAACCCGGCCCAGCCCGCGGCUCGGCUCACAACCUGAAAAUAAAACUCAUGUUUGAGAGGGAGGAGCGAGCGCGGCCGGGAGGACAGGCAGCGCCGGGCUGCAGGCUGAAGAGAUGCUGCGUCAUGGUGCCAACAUGGACGCCGGCCUUUUGUCCUUUUUCUCUUUGGAAGAGCAGGCGAGCCCCGGAGCCCGAAAAGUUGAUUUAAGGGUGCAGAAACACCAUAAUCAAACGGGAGCGAGACCUUAGGAUGGGUGGGAACGUUUCCUCGCCUUUCCAGCCCCUCCAUCUUCAAAGCACUUCGAUUUCUUCUCUGUCACCAAGGUUCAGAUCUGAGGCGAGCCAAAGGGACUAGCGCAAGGCAGCUCCAUGGAUGCCCCAGGGUACUGGGGAGAUGCUCUCUUCGCCUUUGGGGCAGAAGAGAAAAAUGGCUCCCCUCAUCUGUUGGCCUCUCCUUGGAGUCUGAUGAAGGAUGUUUUGAGAUCAGCGUCUAAUAACUCAAGCCCUAUAGAAGCCGCGUGCUGAUUGGCUGCCGCGCCCUGCCGCCCUGCUCCAGCCAAUUACCUACCCACGGCCAAAUUACAAACCCCGAAAAGAGCCCCAAUAUGAAAUACACCACCACGAAGCCCCAAAGAGGCGGCUGCUUCGCCUCGGCAGCCCGAGAAGAGAGGCCGAGGGGUCUGCAAACAUAUCCACGCGAAGCCGGGGAAGCUUCUGAGUUGAACUCACAAAAUGGAAGCCGAGCGCUGAUUGGCCGCCGCCACUCCCGGACCUUUAAUAAAGAAAGGGGAAGGAAAAUGAUAAAUGCAAAAAAGGGGACUCUCUGUCGCUGGUGGCUGGAGGAAGGAGGGAGGAAGAAGCAUGUGUUCAGGACAAUUACUGGGCGCUCCCCUCCAAAAAUAAAAACAGAA